rnacentral:lncRNA from 1 species
UUCCUAUCCACCAACUUUGCUGCAAACCAUGAUCCCUUUAACUCCAUCAGGUAAAUACUUCUAAUGUUGCUGCUUCCUAGCUGCCAGAGAAAUCGUAGGUUGUUUAGAGUGAUAACGUUAGGACCCUUAUCGAAUUUUGAUGACGGUGUGUGGGAGGAGGAGGUGGUGGUGCGAGUGGUGGUUUUGAGCUUGAACUGGUGGUUGAGUUGUCAAGAGAGUCGACGAGGUUUUCAACCAUGGUGGUGGUGGUGGUGGUUGAAGGAGUUGUAGAAAAAAUGAAGGCUUGCGACAGGGGGAGAGAGGGAGAAGAAACAAUAAUAGGAGGAAAGGGAAAAGAGGAAAGGAGGGAGGAGAGGAGAUUUUUUUAAUGGACCAAAAGAAUAGGAUUGGGCCAUUUGGUGUCCUGUUGGCCCUUGGUGGGUUAAUGUGGGCCCAUGAUUAUAUCAUUGUUUGUUUUUUACUUUUGUUAAGUCUUGACAUGGAAAAGUUGUAUUUUUUUGAAAAAAAAAUAAUUUUAAUGAAAAUCACGAGGGAGAUCUUGUGAAAUAAAGAAAUGUCAUAAGGUGUCCUGUAAUACUCGAG